ensembl:misc_RNA Metazoa_SRP Metazoan signal recognition particle RNA
GCCAGGUGUGGCGGCUCAUGCCUGUAAUCCUAGCACUUUGGGAGGCUGAGGCAGGAGGAUCCCUUGAGCCCAGGAGUUCAAGACUAGCCUGGGCAACAUAGGGAGACCCUGUCUCUU